GAUCCAGAGGCAUAUGGAGAAUUCAGUUUGAACCAAGGCUAUACUGAGGUCAGGAACUGAGUGGCCCUGGUAAAACCCAAGCUAUUUCAUUGGUUAAAGUGCUUGAGGAGAGAGAUCUGCCAUUCAGGUGCUUCCAGAUUGCCUGCUCGCACCACCGAAAUCAAAAUGCACAUCCUACAAUUUGCACAAUGACAACACUGAAGCUUCUGCGGCAAAACAACCUGGCUUCUUCAUCAUAUCAACAGUACGAGUCUUGGAUUCCUUUAAACUGUUUUUCUUCAGAUUCCCUUUACUGAAGUCAACUCAACAACUUCAGCUGCAAAUCAAGGCCAUUUAAAAUGACGGAAUGUAUGAUUCAAAAAUUGAAAAAUCUUAAAUGAAAUAAGUUUAC